rnacentral:tRNA from 1 species
UCUGGCGUAGCGAGUGGCCAGGUCACGCCGCCGCUUGAGGCGGCUGAAGCAGCGUUCCACGACGGUGCGCUUGCG